CAUUAAAUGAAUGUCGUGUCUAAAACUACCAAAAUAUCCUUAGUGCACACUCUAUAAUAGCUUAAAAUUUUCUCUUAAAAGUGGGAGUUCCUUGAUUAUUCAAGUACGAGGAUCAUCUUUUUCUUCCCAAGAGCUUGAACACCAUUGCAAAAGUUUCAAAGUCCCUUAGACCUUGAGGCCACCACCCUAUCAUCCAAAAUCUUACUUUAAAUCUCUAGCUCUAUCUAACCUUAGACCUUUUUUUUAAGACUUGAUUUCUUGAAAUACUAUUUUAUCUUCUUCUCCCUCCAUUUUUAUACCUUUAUGGAAGAUCUUGGCCACCUCAUCUCUCAAAUAAGCUCAUCUAUUACUCUUCUUUUAGAAAACUCUCUAAUCUUUAUAAGACCCACAUUUCCCUCAUGUUAUUGUCUACCAUAAACAACCUUUAAUAAGUUUUUUUUGAUAUUGUAAAAUAAAUCAUGUAAUACUCCGCAUACAUAGUGGAUUGGAAAUUAUUACUCCGGUAGAUGUAGGCCAAAAGGCCGAAUCACAUAUAAUAUUGUGUGUUCUUUAUUCUUAUACUUAUGUUCUUCAUAUUAUGAUGAUUUUGAUACCCAUAACACAUUUCAUAUAUGAGCUCACCUAAGUUAUCUUGCAAGCUCUAUUAAGGUCCUUGAAUAAGCUCUCUAUAGCUAUCAUUGAAUUCGUUAGAGCUCUCCAUGUCAACUCUCUAAAUUAACUCCACAAAACUCUUCAUAUUACUCCAAAAUCAAAACACCUCAGUUCAUCACUCAAAUCACCUCAGCUCACCUCCCAAAUCACUUCAACUAUACCUCCCACCCUAAACUCAAAACAAUACGUCUAAACUCAAACAUAACACAAUCUCCCCUCAAAUAUAAAGUUAUUUGUUUAAAUUGAAUUUGAACUGGAUCCGAUGAAAACAACCACUUAAUGGCUCAAAUGGGAUCUUAGAAAAAAUU
rnacentral:lncRNA from 1 species